UACGGAGGGUGCAAGCGUUGUUCGGAAUCAUUGGGCGUAAAGCGCGUGUAGGCGGCUUGGCAAGUCAGUUGUGAAAGCCCGGGGCCCAACCCCGGAAUUGCAUCUGAAACUGCCUGGCUAGAGUCCCGGAGAGGAAGGCAGAAUUCCCGGUGUAUGGGUGAAAUCCGUAGAUAUCGGGAGGAAUACCAGCGGCGAAGGCGGCCUUCUGGACGGUGACUGACGCUGAGACGCGAAAGCGUGGGGAGCAAACAGG
rnacentral:rRNA from 1 species